GUGGGGAAUUUUGGACAAUGGGCGCAAGCCUGAUCCAGCAAUGCCGCGUGCAGGAAGAAGGCCUUCGGGUUGUAAACUGCUUUUGUACGGAACGAAAAGGCUCUGGUUAAUACCUGGGGCUCAUGACGGUACCGUAAGAAUAAGCACCGGCUAACUACGUGCCAGCAGCCGCGGUAAUACGUAGGGUGCAAGCGUUAAUCGGAAUUACUGGGCGUAAAGCGUGCGCAGGCGGUUUUGUAUGACAGAGGUGAAAUCCCCGGGCUCAACCUGGGAAUUGCCUUUGUGACUGCAAGGCUGGAGUGCGGCAGAGGGGGAUGGAAUUCCGCGUGUAGCAGUGAAAUGCGUAGAUAUGCGGAGGAACACCGAUGGCGAAGGCAAUCCCCUGGGCCUGCACUGACGCUCAUGCACGAAAGCGUGGGGAGCAAACAGGAUUAGAUACCCGUGUAGUCC
rnacentral:rRNA from 1 species